rnacentral:rRNA from 1 species
CAAUAAGCGGAGGAAAAGAAACCAACAGGGAUUGCCUCAGUAACGGCGAGUGAAGCGGCAAAAGCUCAAAUUUGAAAUCUGGCGCCUGCAAGUGUCCGAGUUGUACUUUGGAGAGGCAUCUUCGUGAGGGGUCCAGCCUAUGUUCCUUGGAACAGGGCGUCACAGAGGGUGAGAAUCCCGUUCGUGGCUGGAUACUCCUUGCAGUAUGUAGUGUCUUCAAUGAGUCGAGUUGUUUGGGAAUGCAGCUCAAAAUGGGUGGUAAAUUUCAUCUAAAGCUAAAUAUUGGCGAGAGACCGAUAGCGCACAAGUAGAGUGAUCGAAAGAUGAAAAGCACUUUGAAAAUAGAGUCAAACAGUACGUGAAAUUGUUGAAAGGGAAGCGCUUGAGAUCAGAGUCAGCCUUUGACAAACAACAUUCCUUAUGGAUAGUGCACUUGUUAUUGGCUGGGCCAGCAUCAGUUGGGACGGUAGGAUAAAGGCCUUGGGAAUGUGACUCCCUUCCGGAGUGUUAUAGCCCUUGGUGCCAUACUGCCUGCCCUGACUGUGGACCGCGCUUCGGCUUGGAUGCUGGCUUAAUGGUCUUCAGCGGCCCGUCUUGAAACACGGACCAAGGAGUCUAACGUCUAUGCAAGUGUUUGGGCUCAAAACCCUCACGCGUAAUGAAAGUGAACGGAGGUGGGAACCCUGCAAGGGGUGCACCAUCGACCGAUCCUGAUGUCUUCGGAUGGAUUUGAGUAGGAGCAUAGCUGUUGGGACCCGAAAGAUGGUGAACUAUGCCUGAAUAGGGUGAAGCCAGAGGAAACUCUGGUGGAGGCUCGCAGCGGUUCUGACGUGCAAAUCGAUCGUCAAAUUUGGGUAUAGGGGCGAAAGACUAAUCGAACCAUCUA